rnacentral:rRNA from 1 species
ACCCGCUGAACUUAAGCAUAUCAAUAAGCGGAGGAAAAGAAACCAACAGGGAUUGCCUCAGUAACGGCGAGUGAAGCGGCAACAGCUCAAAUUUGAAAUCUGGCGCCUUUGGACGCCCAAGUGGUAAUUGGAAGAGGCGUCUUCGGUUUGGGCUCCAGUCUAGCGCCCUGGAAACAGGCGGCCCCAAAGGGGGAAAAUCCCGAGGCCGGCUGGCAGCUUCUUUCCGUGUGAAGUGUCUUCUAAGACUCGAGGUGUUUGGGAGAUGCAUCUCUAAUAAUGGGUGAGUAACUUUCUUCUAGAGCUAUAAUACUGGCGACGAGAGACGAUAGCGCACGAGGAGAGUGAGUCGAAAGAUGAAAAGCGCUUUGAAAAUAGAGAGUAAAAACGUGCGCGAAAAUGUGGAAAGGGAAGCGCUUGAGCCCCGAGUCGGUCGGGCAUGUUCUCUUUCCCUUCUGGGGUUCCUGCUCUUUUCCCGUGCCCGGCCAGCAUCAGUUGGGGCGGUGGGAUAAAGGCUUGGGGAAUGUGGCUCCUUUCGGGGAGUCUUAUUGCGCCAGGCGCCAUGCCGCCCGCCUCGACCGAGGUCCGCGCUUCGGCUAGGAUGCUGGCGUAAUGGUCUU